GGGGAAUUUUCCGCAAUGGGCGAAAGCCUGACGGAGCAAGACCGCGUGAGGGAGGAAGGCUCUUGGGUUGUAAACCUCUUUUCUCAGGGAAGAAGCUCUGACGGUACCCGAGGAAUCAGCAUCGGCUAACUCCGUGCCAGCAGCCGCGGUAAUACGGAGGAUGCAAGCGUUAUCCGGAUUUAUUGGGCGUAAAGCGUCCGCAGGUGGCAAUUCAAGUCUGCCGUCAAAACCAGUGGCUCAACUACUGAGAGGCGGUGGAAACUGAAUAGCUAGAGUGCGGUAGGGGUAGAGGGAAUUCCCGGUGUAGCGGUGAAAUGCGUAGAGAUCGGGAAGAACACCAGUGGCGAAAGCGCUCUGCUGGACCUGCACUGACACUGAGGGACGAAAGCUAGGGGAGCGAAUGGGAUUAGAUACCCCAGUAGUCCUAGCCGUAAACGAUGGAUACUAGGUGUGGCUCGUAUCGACCCGAGCCGUGCCGCAGCUAACGCGUUAAGUAUCCCGCCUGGGGAGUACGCACGCAAGUGUGAAACUCAAAGGAAUUGACGGGGGCCCGCACAAGCGGUGGAGUAUGUGGUUUAAUUCGAUGCAACGCGAAGAACCUUACCAGGGCUUGACAUGUCGCGAAUCUUAGGGAAACCUAAGAGUGCCUUCGGGAGCGCGAACACAGGUGGUGCAUGGCUGUCGUCAGCUCGUGUCGUGAGAUGUUGGGUUAAGUCCCGCAACGAGCGCAACCCUCGUUUUUAGUUGCCAAUAUUAAGUUAGGCACUCUAAAGAGACUGCCGGUGACAAACCGGAGGAAGGUGGGGAUGACGUCAAGUCAGCAUGCCCCUUACGUCCUGGGCUACACACGUACUACAAUGCGUUAGACAAAGGGCAGCCAAGCCGCGAGGCCGAGCUAAUCCCAGAAACUAAGGCACAGUUCAGAUCGCAGGCUGCAACUCGCCUGCGUGAAGGCGGAAUCGCUAGUAAUCGCAGGUCAGCAUACUGCGGUGAAUACGUUCCCGGGCCUUGUACACACCGCCCGUCACACCAUGGGAGUUGGUCAUGCCCGAAGUCGUUACUCCAACCCGCAAGGGAGGAGGACGCCGAAGGUGGGACUGAUGACUGGGGUGAAGUCGUAACAAGGUAGCCGUACCGGAAGGUGUGGCUGGAUCACCUCCUUUUUAGGGAGACCAGGCGUAAUCGAGAGCAAAAGCGAAAGCAAAUAGCGCUCAAUUACAGCUAUCCCAGGUCGUGCGAGGAAUUGGCAAAAGCUUUCAAACUAGCAACUGGUUCGAUAUUUAUGGGCUAUUAGCUCAGGUGGUUAGAGCGCACCCCUGAUAAGGGUGAGGUCCCUGGUUCAAGUCCAGGAUGGCCCACCUCAAACAGUAAAACAAUGGUGGGGGUAUAGCUCAGUUGGUAGAGCGCUGCCUUUGCACGGCAGAAGCCAGCGGUUCGAGUCCGCUUACCUCCAGUGGGAUAGAGCGAUUAACCCAGAAAAGUAAGGGAGUCCAGCAACUCAACUGGUGAAAAGCCAGAGAGACUGCUGGAGGAAAAACCAGCCAGAACCUAGAAAACUGCAUAGCAACUAAUAAGUCUAAACCAGCAGGUAGAGCUGGGGCUAUUUUUAGCACCAGAGCUGCCUGUGCAGGUAGAAAGAAAAAACAGUGGUCAAGCUAGAAAGAGCUGACGGUGGAUACCUAGGCACACAGAGGCGAAG
rnacentral:misc_RNA from 1 species